rnacentral:rRNA from 1 species
AUUGAACGCUGGCGGCAUGCUUUACACAUGCAAGUCGAACGAGUGGCGAACGGGUGAGUAACGCAUCGGAACGUACCGAGUAAUGGGGGAUAAAUGUCCGAAAGGAAAGCUAAUCCCGCAUAAUAUUAGAUCUGCCGAUGUCGGAUUAGCUGGUUGGCGGGGUAAAGGCCCACCAAGGCGACGAUCCGUAGCGGGUCUGAGAGGAGGAACCGCCACACUGGAACUGAGACACGGCCCAGACUCCUACGGGAGGCAGCAGUGGGGAAUUUUGGACAAUGGGCGCAAGCCUGAUCCAGCCAUGCCGCGUGUCUGAAGAAGGCCUUCGGGUUGUAAAGGACUUUUGUCAGGGAAGCGGUACCGGAAGAAUAAGCACCGGCUAACUACGUGCCAGCCGCCGCGGUAAUUC